CGGCACUUUGGAGAAUCCCGCCGACGGCGGGUGCCGAAGGGGCAAAGCGCACCGCGCGAAUCUCUCAGGCAAAAGGACAAAG
rnacentral:ncRNA from 1 species